AUUGAACGCUGGCGGAAUGCUUUACACAUGCAAGUCGAGCGGCAGCGCGGGGCAACCUGGCGGCGAGCGGCGAACGGGUGAGUAAUACAUCGGAACGUACCCAGUUGUGGGGGAUAGCCCGGCGAAAGCCGGAUUAAUACCGCAUACGACCUGAGGGUGAAAGGGGGGGAUCGCAAGACCUCUCGCAGUUGGAGCGGCCGAUGGCGGAUUAGCUAGUUGGUAGGGUAAAGGCCUACCAAGGCGACGAUCCGUAGCUGGUCUGAGAGGACGACCAGCCACACUGGAACUGAGACACGGUCCAGACUCCUACGGGAGGCAGCAGUGGGGAAUUUUGGACAAUGGGCGCAAGCCUGAUCCAGCAAUGCCGCGUGAGUGAAGAAGGCCUUCGGGUUGUAAAGACUCUUUCAGUUGAGAAGAAAAGA
rnacentral:rRNA from 1 species